AUAUACAUAGAAAGUGGGAUACAAGAAGAAUGUCGGAGAUCUAGAUAGGACAAGUAUAUACUAAAUCCUAAUGUCACUAAUAAACGACAAAUAUGUGCCAGUGGCCCUGAUAAAGAUGAGGACAUGGGAAGGCAUGAGCAAAGUCUGACUCACCUGGUAAGAGGAAACAAUCCUGUGAGUGGAUCCCUGGCUCUCCUGACGGAGCCCCUGAAGAUGCAGGUCCUGGGGUUGACUGUGGGUGGAUGCACUGUGUUUCGGGCUGCCAGUCGUCGCUCCAUCCACUGCUGUAGCUGUGUUACCCGAGCAUCUGCCUGCAACUCCCGCAUGGUAGUGGUCCGUUCUGUACGCUGCCGACACUCCUCUUUCUCCUCUGCAAGCUGUUGAACUAAAGGAAAACUUAAGCUAAAGAGCCACUACAUCCUUCCCCUCUGAGACCACCAGCACAAGACUCACCUUCUUGAUGUUGCCAGCGAGGUCGAUGAAGUAUUGCUCGCCCUUGGAGAGCGGGUCCUUGGGCAGGGAGUCGAUGUUAGGAGUGGCGAGUUCCUGGGGUGUGGUGGGAGGGAAGUACUGACACCCAUACGGCGACCACUGCACCUGCUUCCCUCGACGCUUUUCCUUGUGGUCAGACUUGUGCUACAGACAGAACAAAACCAGUUAUGGUACACAGGGGGUAUAUGUUGUUGUCGUGCUGUGUCUGGGUGUGGGUGUGAAUGUGGGUCGGUCUCUGGGUGGAUGUAACAGCUUCUAGGUCAUUACUGGUACUGCACAUGUCAUGUAACCUGACGAGUCACAUUUUAGACUAUCUUUAUCCCAGUAAGGUAUAUUGGGAUCCCUGGUAUUUCUACCACUCAUGCAAGACUUGCAAACAAGAAGAAAACACAAAUAUAACCAACCAAUCACCAAAGAUGAGUACAAUAAAGAAAACAAUGUAACUAGAAGAAGCAUGAUGACCUUACUUUCUUCUUCUCCUUGGCCCUGGUGCUGCUGUCUUUACUUGAGGUGCCGCUGUCAUUUGUCUUUCCUCUCUUCUUGUCUCCCUUGCCUGCCCCCUUCCCUACUGCUGCUGCGCCCUUGUUCUUCGCCUCCUUAGCCUCCUUCUUCUUCUGCUCCUGCUCCCGGCGGAGGCGCUCCUCUGGGGACACUACUGGUGGGGGGUUCCUGAGGAUCUCCAGGAUCUGGUCGAACUCCUUGCGUCUGGCGAUGUCUCCAGGUGCCUCGUUUUGCUGCCGGGAAUGGAUGAUGUUAUCGUCAUUGCUGUGACCACAAUUACUGCACCAUCUACCCCUUUGACUUUUUUGUCAUUUACAAUAUUGCUAUUAAUGGGAUUGUCAUUAAUAACUUUAUUGUAACUAAUAUUGAUAUUAAUAUGUUUAAUACGAUAUUAAUGGGUUUAAUAUUGAUAUUGUAUUUAAGAACAUAAAAAAACACAAGAAUUAAGGAAACUGCAAAAGGCCUACUGGCUCUUAGGUGGCAGCUCUUAUUUACAUCCUGUAUGUUACCCGAUAAUUUGUUCCACAAAUCAACAACCCUCUUUCAAAACCCGCAUUUACCCAAGUUUUUCCUAAAUCUAAACUUAUUAAAUUUAAAUAAUUGUUUCGUGCUC
rnacentral:lncRNA from 1 species